UACGUAGGGUGCGAGCGUUAAUCGGAAUUACUGGGCGUAAAGCGUGCGCAGGCGGUUAUAUAAGACAGAUGUGAAAUCCCCGGGCUCAACCUGGGAACUGCAUUUGUGACUGCAAAGCUGGAGUGCGGCAGAGGGGGAUGGAAUUCCGCGUGUAGCAGUGAAAUGCGUAGAUAUGCGGAGGAACACCGAUGGCGAAGGCAAUCCCCUGGGCCUGUACUGACGCUCAUGCACGAAAGCGUGGGGAGCAAACAGG
rnacentral:rRNA from 1 species